GGAAAACUGCUCUGGCGACUUGACUCAUCUUACCAACAGUGGUUGUCCCUGGAGGAAAAUAAUUACAUUCAGGCAGCUAAUUAUUACAGUCUUAAUAGUACUUUGCUUCCUGUUUUGUUUUAUCACAGGUAAUGUUGUAUUACUUUAUAAACAAGCAAUUCACUGUUUAGCUUUUGUCUCUUUCAUUUUAUAAAUUGACAUUGAUUAACAGCCAAUAAAAGGACAAGCGUUGAAGAUAAAAAAAGAGGGAGAACGGAUGAGGAAUUAUGAAAACAAACAACAGACUGAACACCUAUAUGACUGUGUCAGCAACCGCCACACUUUUGCCCAUGGAUGGAUUAUGUUAUAAGAUGAAGUUUUUAUGUUGUGGAAAAUAAAGGCCUGCAAAGAAAAUAACUUCAUUGCAAGAGGUAAAGCUUCUUCUGCAUUAACAAACCAUGAUGUACUCAGUAGCAUAUGGGCUGUUACUGGGAGACUGUGCACCAUUUUAAAUUAUAUGUUAAAGUAGAUUUUGCCUACAGGUUUUUU